UUCAUGGCGAUCAUCACCAUCAGAGGGUCUCCCACCUGCACAGUGUCACCAACCUUCACCAGAACCUGCCAGAGACCAGCCACAGCCAGUCACAGUCAGUCACACCAUACAAGCACCACAGCCACUUAAAGGAUUAUAUUACCAGACCUGUAACACUAGAGUUCCAUUAGAGAGUUCCGUUACCAGGCCUGUAACACUAGAGUUCCAUUAGAGUGUUCUGUAACACUGACAGGUGUCACUCAUCAGCAGCAUCAUCAUCGUGGAGGCGGAGUUACCUUCUCUAUCGUCCCGGUCAUGGGAGCCACGGCCCCGCCCUGUGCCCCCGAGCCGCUCACCCCCGCCAGGAACUUGGGCACAGGCACCUUCACCUCAAAACUGCCCUCCUGCAGAGGGCGACAGGGAGCGCGCGGUAAGCAGACACACCUUGUUCGUUAAGUGUCAAACUCAACACGGCCGCAGAGCUUUGCGAUCGGGACCUCCCCAACCCUGAGAUCCAGGCGUUAAGCACCAGAGAACGAGCAGCAGCUCAUUACAGGUGAAGGGGCUGCUCACCAUGGAGAAGAGGUGCACGUCGUUGUCCAGGACGACCAUCUUGGGCCGGGACACCACCCCGUUGACAGAGCAGUGCAGGUACGAGGCUCCGCCCUCCUCCACCAGGUCCCCCGAGACCAGGAACACCUCCCCCCCGAUCUGUGGGACGGACAGAGAACUGAACCUCUGGAGCUACACCCAAACCAGCACAACCAACACCUGUC